rnacentral:rRNA from 1 species
UACGUAGGGUGCGAGCGUUAAUCGGAAUUACUGGGCGUAAAGCGUGCGCAGGCGGUCUGUUAAGACCGAUGUGAAAUCCCCGGGCUUAACCUGGGAACUGCAUUGGUGACUGGCAGGCUUUGAGUGUGGCAGAGGGAGGUAGAAUUCCACGUGUAGCAGUGAAAUGCGUAGAUAUCAGGAGGAACACCGAUGGCGAAGGCAGCUGCCUGGCCUAGAACUGACGCUGAGGUGCGAAAGCGUGGGGAGCGAACAGG